AACGCGAAGAACCUUACCAGGUCUUGACAUCCCGCUGACCGCCUAGGAGACUAGGCUUUCCCUUCGGGGACAGCGGUGACAGGUGAUGCAUGGUUGUCGUCAGCUCGUGUCGUGAGAUGUUGGGUUAAGUCCCGCAACGAGCGCAACCCUUGAUCUUAGUUGCCAGCAUUCAGUUGGGCACUCUAAGGUGACUGCCGGUGACAAACCGGAGGAAGGUGGGGAUGACGUCAAAUCAUCAUGCCCCUUAUGACCUGGGCUACACACGUGCUACAAUGAUCAGCACAAAGGGCCGCCAAACCGCAAGGUGGAGCGAAUCUCAGAAAGCUGGUCUCAGUUCGGAUCGGGGUCUGCAAUUCGACCCCGUGAAGGUGGAGUCGCUAGUAAUCGCGGAUCAGCAACGCCGCGGUGAAUACGUUCCCGGGUCUUGUACACACCG
rnacentral:rRNA from 1 species